UGGCGGCAUGCUUGUCACUGCAAAUCACGGGGGGCCCAGCGAUGGGUAACCGGGGAAACGGGUGCGUAACACGUGAGCGACCUGCCUUUCCGCGGGGGAUAGCCGGCCCAACGGCCGGGGUAAUACCGCAUACGUUUCCUAUGGGGGCAUCCUGUGGGAAAGAAACCUCCGGGGCGGAGAGAGGGGCUCGCGACCUAUCAGCUAGUUGGCGGGGUAACGGCUCACCAAGGCGACGACGGGUAGCUGGUCUGAGAGGAUGGCCAGCCACAUUGGGACUGAGAUACGGCCCAGACUCCUACGGGAGGCAGCAGUGGGGAAUAUUGCGCAAUGGCCUAACGGCUGACGCAGCGACGCCGCGUGUGGGAGGACGCCCCUCGGGGUGUAAACCACUGUUGCCCGGGACGAACCGCCUCAAUCGUGAGGCCUGACGGUACCGGGUGAGGAAGCACCGGCUAACUCCGUGCCAGCAGCCGCGGUAAUACGGAGGGUGCGAGCGUUGUCCGGAAUCACUGGGCGUAAAGGGCGCGUAGGUGGCCGCUUAAGUGUGUGGUGAAAGCCCGGGGCUCAACCCCGGGUCGGCCAUGCAAACUGGGGGGCUCGAGCAUUGUAGAGGCAGGCGGAAUUCCGGGUGUAGCGGUGGAAUGCGUAGAGAUCCGGAAGAACACCGGUGGCGAAGGCGGCCUGCUGGGCAAUAGCUGACACUGAGGCGCGACAGCGUGGGGAGCAAACAGGAUUAGAUACCCUGGUAGUCCACGCCGUAAACGAUGGGCACUAGGUGCCUGGGGGAGCGACCCCCUGGGCGCCGUCGCUAACGCAUUAAGUGCCCGC
rnacentral:rRNA from 1 species